rnacentral:rRNA from 1 species
AACGAACGCUGGCGGCGUGGAUUAGGCAUGCAAGUCGAACGAGAAAGAUUUCUUCGGGAAUCGAGUAGAGUGGCAAACGGGUGAGUAACGCGUGGGAAACCUGCCUUUCAGCUGGGGAUAACACUUCUAACGAAGUGCUAAUACCGAAUACGGUCAUUUCAUCGCAUGGUGAAAUGAUUAAAGAUGGCCUCUGUUUUAAGCUGUCACUGAAAGAUGGUCCCGCGUCCCAUUAGCUUGUUGGUGAGGUAACGGCUCACCAAGGCUGUGAUGGGUAGCCGGCCUUAGCGGGUGACCGGCCACACUGGGACUGAGAUACGGCCCAGACUCCUACGGGUGGCAG